UACGUCCAUAUUACGUUGAAAUACUGGUUCCUGUACGAUCCCCGACGUUAAGCAACUUCAAUCCUGGUCAGUAACUAGAUGGGUGACCACUUGGGAAUAUCGGGUACUGU